rnacentral:lncRNA from 1 species
UGUAGAGAAUACAACAACCUUGAUGCUCUCAAUGACACCAUUACAACUCCUGGUCACAUAUGCAUUUCGACCGCCGCUAACAUCUAAACUGCCAUUGGACAACUUAAAAUGAAGGUUUCUUAACCGCUAUUGAACCUAGAUUCACUAGGCUCUCGUGUUCCAACUCGAGCAAUGCUCUCUCUUCUAAUGAUUCCAUCUACAUAACAAAAAACACCCUUUUGUUAAAAAUCAAGAAACCUUCAAGAUUCGUUGUAAAUGAAAGCCAAGAAAACAAACCGCAACUGUGGAUUGAAUUCGAGCUAACGAUGGUUUCUCAUCGAUGUUGCUUCUGCUAUUAUCCAUUUUAUUAUAGACCAAAAACUCCAUAUUACUUCUCGAUCAUCUACUUCGCAAACAUCCCACGUACAAAUAUUAAACUAAUGUUAAAUCCCCACAUUAAUUACGCGCCAGAUAUUUAAACCCAUCAAAGUGGUGCAGCUUGGGAAGCUUCCAACAAAGUGGAAGAAAACUUUUUUGUGUUAAACUAUUCGAGUUUGAAAGUCAAUGGUUGGAUUCUUUUCUCAAGGUGCAAUUUCUCAUUAAUUUCUACUAAUAAAGAUGAUCCCAACAAAUGAGCGCUGAACUGUUUUGGCUAUCCACAAUUAGUUGGGAUUCAAGUUGAAAUUUUGAACAAAUUCGAAAUAUCACACGUCGAUUCAACAAUUACAACAAGAUCACUUCAUUGGAAUCCUUCCUUUCUUCAAAGGGAAGGAAAGAUUCCGUAAAUGUCUUUUCGGAUAUCCUGAAGUGUAUUCCCCAGCCUCAUUCAUUACAAAAUAAGCCAACGAAAAGUACCCAAGCAUAUUGUUAUAUUAAUCAACAACAGCAUAUACAUACAUUACAAAAUUCACACUAAACAAGCCCAGCAGUGUGCAGUUAACCCUUCAGCCAACUCUUCAGCCGCUUCAACGAACUUCUGGUGGCAGUUUCGAGUCCAGACGAACGGCCGCUUCGACAUCCGUACGUAGGGCGAGGAAUGACAAUCGGUCGGGUCGGUCAAAAAAAUUUAAAGCCUGACCCUAAAUGAACCCGACCAUUUGUGGAAUCGGUUCAACAUCGGGUCGGGUCGGACCAAAAUUGUUUUCAUAAUUCAAUAAUUUGGGCAGCUCAAAUUUGUCAAUAUCUUGUAAUUUUAUGACCAC